CAUAAGCCUUGCACAGCAUCCUUGGUGUUUUAUGAAGUGUCAUCAUAUGCAAAGAUCAACCUUGGCACUUUUUUUUGAGUGUCAUUGAAUGUAAUUAUAUAUAAAUUUCAUCUUUUUCCCCGAUCUUGCCCACACAUGCUCCCUGACAAACCCAAUAUCAUAUGACCCCUAGACCUAACCACCAUGCUUGGCUCUCACCAGCGACUAAUCGGCGAGAGCUUAAUUGUUACUUACUUCUGGCCACCACUAGCCGCAUCACUCCGAUAAACGAUAAGCCUGACCCACAUGCCCUGUAACCCAUCGAGGAAGCCAUAAUAGACCUCCAUCGUUGUCUACAGAGUGCUUUGAUGGUUCUAGAACAGGUAGUAUGAAGAUUGAGUGGAAAUUAGGCUCCAUGGUGUUGAGAUUAGAGCUAUUGUGGGAAUCGAUGUGGACUCUACCGUGCAGCAGCAGCAGCAUUUUUAUUAGUUCGGGGUUGGACGAUUAGAAUGUGAACUAAGAGACAUGCUUGCAACAUGCGACAAGGUGGUUAGGGCGUGGGCUAGUGCAUGGGAUAAGAGCCUAACAUUGUGGUGAGUUGAUUGAAUUUUCCAUGACAGGUGGUUAACACUUUGUCUGACACCUAGCCUAAGGGAGUUGCAAGGCAUUAGGAGGAAGGUGGGUGUGAAAGUGGGCUGUUUAAAGGAACUGCACUCAACAUGUGGCAUGAGACAAGCAUCUUUAUGAUGUGCCAAGGCAUGUGGCAUGAAAGGGUGAAGGAGGCAACAUGUGGCAUACUCCAGAGAAAGGCAGCAUUGACAGAGGACUUGAAGGCAACUGUUGAUGACAGUAACCACCUUGUUUCAUGUUUAAUUCAACCAUAGAAAAUUGCCUUUUUAGCACUAUACUAGCCAAUUGAUUCUAUGACAUGUUCUCUUUAUCUUGUUUAUAGCAUAUUUUAUUUGAUGCUUGAAUGGUUUUUCAAUUA